CGAGUCGAACGAUACAGUGGCAGACGGGUGAGUAACGCGUGGGAACGUACCUUUCACUACGGAAUAGCUCCGGGAAACUGGUGGUAAUACCGUAUACGCCCUCAGGGGGAAAGAUUUAUCGGUGAAAGAUCGGCCCGCGUUGGAUUAGCUAGUUGGUGAGGUAAUGGCUCACAAAGGCGACGAUCCAUAGCUGGUCUGAGAGGAUGAUCAGCCACAUUGGGACUGAGACACGGCCCAAACUCCUACGGGAGGCAGCAGUGGGGAAUCUUGCACAAUGGGCGAAAGCCUGAUGCAGCCAUGCCGCGUGAAUGAUGAAGGCCUUAGGGUUGUAAAAUUCUUUCGUCAGGGAUGAUAAUGACCGUACCUGAAGAAGAAGCCCCGGCUAACUUCGUGCCAGCAGCCGCGGUAAUACGAAGGGGGCUAGCGUUGUUCGGAAUUACUGGGCGUAAAGCGCACGUAGGCGGAUUUUUAAGUCAGGUGUGAAAUCCCGGGGCUCAACCUCGGAACUGCAUUUGAAACUGGAAGUCUUGAGACCAGGAGAGGUUAGCGGAAUACCGAGUGUAGAGGUGAAAUUCGUAGAUAUUCGGUGGAACACCAGUGGCGAAGGCGGCUAACUGGACUGGUACUGACGCUGAGGUGCGAAAGUGUGGGGAGCAAACAGGAUUAGAUACCCUGGUAGUCCACACCGUAAACGAUGAGAGCUAGUUGCUGGCAGGCAUGCCUGUCGGUGACGCAGCUAACGCAUUAAGCUCUCCGCCUGGGGAGUACGGCCGCAAGGUUAAAACUCAAAGAAAUUGACAG
rnacentral:rRNA from 1 species